UCAUCCGGGCUUUUGCCCGGUGCACUCUUCUGUAGGCAGGCCAGCAUCAGUUUUCCCCGGGGGAUAAAGGCGGCGGGAAUGUGGCUCUCUUCGGGGAGUGUUAUAGCCCACCGUGUAAUACCCUGGGGGGGACUGAGGUUCGCGCAUCUGCAAGGAUGCUGGCGUAAUGGUCAUCAACGA
rnacentral:rRNA from 1 species